ACGAACGCUGGCGGCGUGCCUAAUACAUGCAAGUAGAACGCACAGUUUAUACCGUAGCUUGCUACACCAUAGACUGUGAGUUGCGAACGGGUGAGUAACGCGUAGGUAACCUGCCUGGUAGCGGGGGAUAACUAUUGGAAACGAUAGCUAAUACCGCAUAAUAUUGAUUAUUGCAUGAUAAUUAAUUGAAAGGUGCAAUUGCACCACUACCAGAUGGACCUGCGUUGUAUUAGCUAGUGGGUGAGGUAACGGCUCACCUAGGCGACGAUACAUAGCCGACCUGAGAGGGUGAUCGGCCACACUGGGACUGAGACACGGCCCAGACUCCUACGGGAGGCAGCAGUAGGGAAUCUUCGGCAAUGGACGAAAGUCUGACCGAGCAACGCCGCGUGAGUGAAGAAGGUUUUCGGAUCGUAAAGCUCUGUUGUAAGAGAAGAACGGGUGUGAGAGUGGAAAGUUCACACUGUGACGGUAUCUUACCAGAAAGGGACGGCUAACUACGUG
rnacentral:rRNA from 1 species